ACAAGAAGAUAAGAUGAUGGGUAAAAGAGGGAGAGAGUUUUUGUGUUUAAUUAAUUUUAAUUUUGUUUAGAUAAAAAUUUUAUUAAAUUUUUAAUAUUUAAUUAAUUUUUUAAUUUGCAAAGUGGGCCACACACUUGCCACAUUAUCACUUAACUCUGAAAUUGACAGAAAAUUUAACAGAUGUUUGAUAUUAUAACAAAUUUAUAAGAUGAUGUAUGACAUUGCAAUGUUUAAAACAUAAGAUAUGAGAAUAUGAUGUGACCCAUAGUUAAGGUGGUUUUGUGUAAUUUACCUUUUUUAUUUUGUCUUCAAUUUUUCACACACAUAGUUGACUUCUCUUCAACAAUUUGAGAAUUGAGAUAGAGAUACUA
rnacentral:lncRNA from 1 species